rnacentral:rRNA from 1 species
UGAAGUUGGAAUUGCUAGUAAUCGCGAAUCAGAAUGUCGCGGUGAAUACGUUCCCGGGCCUUGUACACACCGCCCGUCACACCAUGAGAGUCGAUAACACCCGAAGCCUGUGAGCUAACCUUUUAGGAGGCAGCAGUCGAAGGUGGGGUUGAUGAUUGGGGUGAAGUCGUAACAAGGUAAC